rnacentral:rRNA from 1 species
AACGGACGCUGGCGGCAUGCCUAACACAUGCAAGUCGAACGAGGCCUUCGGGCCUAGUGGCGCACGGGUGCGUAACGCGUGGGAACCUGCCCUUAGGUUCGGAAUAACUCCCCGAAAGGGGUGCUAAUACCGGAUAAUGUCUUCGGACCAAAGAUUUCUCGCCUUUGGAUGGGCCCGCGUUGGAUUAGCUAGUUGGUAGGGUAAAAGCCUACCAAGGCGACGAUCCAUAGCUGGUCUGAGAGGAUGAUCAGCCACACUGGGACUGAGGCACGGCCCAGACUCCUACGGGAGGCAGCAGUGGGGAGUAUUGGACAAGGGGCGAAAGCCUGAUCCAGCAAUGCCGCGUGAGUGAUGAAGGCCUUAGGGUUGUAAAGCUCUUUUACCCGGGAUGAUAAUGACAGUACCGGGAGAAUAAGCACCGGCUAACUCCGUG